rnacentral:rRNA from 1 species
AUACGUAGGGGGCGAGCGUUGUCCGGAAUGAUUGGGCGUAAAGGGCGCGUAGGCGGCCCGGUAAGUCUGGAGUGAAAGUCCUGUUUUUAAGAUGGGAAUUGCUUUGGAUACUGUCGGGCUUGAGUGCAGGAGAGGUAAGUGGAAUUCCCAGUGUAGCGGUGAAAUGCGUAGAGAUUGGGAGGAACGCCAGUGGCGAAGGCGACUUACUGGACUGUAACUGACGCUGAGGCGCGAAAGUGUGGGGAGCAAACAGGAUUAGAUACCCUGGUAGUCCACACUGUAAACGAUGAAUGCUAGGUGUAAGAGGUAUCGACCCCUUUUGUGCCGGAGUUAACACAAUAAGCAUUCCGCCUGGGGAGUACGGCCGCAAGGUUGAAACUCAAAUGAAUUGACGGGG